rnacentral:rRNA from 1 species
UAACUGGUCGAUCCUGCCAGUAGUCAUAUGCUUGUCUCAAAGAUUAAGCCAUGCAUGUCUAAGUAUGAAUAGUAUUCUUGAUACUGUGAAACUGCGAAUGGCUCAUUAAAUCAGUUAUAGUUUAUUUGAUAGUUUGCAACUCGUUUUUCGGAGCGGUGUUGUGCUAGACGGAUAGCCGUGGUAAUUCUAGAGCUAAUACGUGCGACAAGGCCCGAGAGAGAGGUGUGUGUAUGCGCAUUUUUUCUUCUCGAGGGCUGCAUUUGUUAGGUAUAAAGCCAGCAGGAACAUGACUGGUGAAUCAGAAUAACUUUGCUGACCGUUACACAUUUGUGUGUGAUGGUGUCUCAUUCGAAUUUCUGCCCUAUCAACUUUCGAUGGUAAGGUAUUGGCUUACCAUGGUGACAACGGGUGACGGGGAACAUUUGGUUCGAUUCCGGAGAGGGAGCCUGAGAGACGGCUACCACUUCCAAGGAAGGCAGCAGGCGCGCAAAUUACCCAAUCCUGACACAGGGAGGUAGUGACAAUAAAUACCAAUGCACGGUGUUUUUUAUGCACUGUGCAAUUGGAAUGAGAACAAUGUAAAGACCUUAUCAAGGAACAAUUGGAGGGCAAGUCUGGUGCCAGCAGCCGCGGUAAUUCCAGCUCCAAAAGCGUAUACUAAAGUUGUUGCAGUUAAAAAGCUCGUAGUUGGAUUUCAUGCGGGGUUCACGGUGUGUGGUGGGGGUGAGACUCUGUUUCGCCCUUGCCCCGCACUGUUUGGACUCUGCAGUUUUAAUAUUCCCUGGUGGCGCCUUUGGCGCGUGCCCUUGAUUGGGUGUGUGUCAAGUCACGUAGUGGUGGGGCGCUGUUGGGGGCUUUACUUUGAAAAAAUUAGAGUGUUCAAAGCAGGCAGUCAUUUGAUUUGCUUGAAUAGAUUAGCAUGGAACAACGGAAGAGGACUUUUGGGCCUGUACUGUUGGCGUGUGGUGCGGGGUGUGUGGAGUGAGAAACCGCAAGGUUUUCUCAUUCCUCCCUCACCACAUCGGGUCUGAAGUAAUGAUUAAUAGGGACGGUUGGGGGCACUGGUAUUUCGUUGUCAGAGGUGAAAUUCUUGGAUUUACGAAAGACCGCCGACUGCGAAAGCAUUUGCCAAGGACGCUUUCAUUGAUCAAGAACGAAAGUUAGGGGAUCGAAGACGAUUAGAUACCGUCGUAGUCUUAACCAUAAACGAUGCCGGCCAGGGCUCGGUGGGCAGCACAAAUCAUUCUGUGAUGGAGGCGCCAUCGGGACCUUUAGGGAAACCAAAGCGUUUGGGUUCCGGGGGGAGUAUGAUCGCAAGAUUGAAACUUAAAGGAAUUGACGGAAGGGCACCACCAGGAGUGGAGCCUGCGGCUUAAUUUGACUCAACACGGGGAAACUCACCAGGUCCAGACAUGGGAAGGAUUGACAGAUUGACAGCUCUUUCUUGAUUCCAAGGGAGGUGGUGCAACCGUCCAGCGUGCUGUACACGCACAGAUAUAAGAAUGCUCUCAAUGUGUUUCUUCUUCUCAUGUGGGAGAUGUGGAGUUGAUGAUCCGAUGUGGCAAUGCUCAUGUUGAGAGAAGGGAUUCUGUAUGUGAAUGGAGAUGUGUGAAUGAAGAUGUGUGAAUGAGAAUACUGUAAGAGCAAUCACCGAAAUUGAUGAGACUACUUGAAGAAAGAGAAAUGUACUUUGUUGUGUAUGUGAUGAGGGCAUGUUGUUAUGUUGUUUGAUGAUUGUGAACCAUUGUAUUUUUGUUCUCAUUUGCACCUUGAUUAUGUUCGUUGAUUGUUUUGUGUAUUGUGAUUGCUACCAUUCAAGGGAUAUUGUGAGAAGUAGUUACGAGGCCGAGUCAAGCCACCAUGUGACAUUGGGCAUGUGAUGAAGUGAGGUAAAGUGAAGUGAAGUGAAAGGGUAGUGAAUGAUUGAUGUGUUAGUGGGUGCAGGAGAGUGGUUGAUGAUAUUAUGUGUUGUGUUGAUGAAGAGACUCUGAAAAGAUAUUGUAGAGGGGGAGGUGUAACAUGACGUAAAGCAGCAGGUUCAUGAUUUACAGGAGACGGCAGGAAGAGAUUGGUGCAACCAUGUAAGGAGGUUGUUGCUGCAUUACUCCGUGAUGUGAAAGCUAUUGCAAGUGUGGCGUGGUGUGAUGUGAGGAGGAGUGUGAAGAGGAAAGAAGUACAAAUGUAAGAAUAUCUAACAGCAGUUAAGAAUGAACACAAACGACAGUUCAAAUCGAAAGCAAAGCUUUGGUGAAACAUUAGCAAUUUCAGUCAAAAUUGCGAAAAGCUGCGAGAUAGUGCAAAGCGAUCAGGGGUGAGGUGGUGAUUGUUGAUGCAGUCGGCGGGCUGGCCGUCCAGCUUUUGUUGUGAAAUCUCUGUUUGAUUACGGUAAACGGCGAGACCUUGACUUGCUGAUUGGUGUAGGGAAGCGUGCGCUUUCUUGGUGGGGCUGUGCGAAAGCACUCCUCACAUCACACCACUCAGAGGGACACUCGGCGUUGCUAUUGAGCGUAAGCCGAAGGAAGUUUGAGGCGAUAAACAGGUCUGUGAUGCCCUUAGAUGUUCUGGGCUGCACGCGCGCUACACUGACGGGGGGCAGCGAGUAUGCUUUGGGUGUUUGUGGUGGGGAAAGCCUGUGCUUUUUCUUGCCAUGAACAUCUAUUCUGCGCUGGAGGCGUGGGGACUCUGUGAAACCCGUCCUGCUGGGGAUAGAAGCUUGGCAUUGGGGAUAGAUGGGGCUUUGCAAACUGUGCGAAAGACUCCCCACAUCACACCACUCAGAGGGACACUCGGCGUUGCUAUUGAGCGUAAGCCGAAGGAAGUUUGAGGCGAUAACAUGCCUGUGAUGCCCUUAGAUGUUCUGGGCUGCACGCGCGCUACACUGACGGGGGCAGCGAGUAUGCUUUGGGUGUUUGUGGUGGGGAGCGUGAAAGCGUUUCUCUUGCCAUGAACAUCUAUUCCUGCGCUGGAAGGCGUGGGGACUCUUGUGAAAACCCGUCGUGCUGGGGAUAGAUGCUUGCAAUUAUUCAUCUUGAACGAGGAAUUCCUAGUAAGCGCAAUUCAACAGAUUGCGUUGAUUACGUCCCUGCCCUUUGUACACACCGCCCGUCGCUACUACCGAUUGAAUGGUUUAGUGAGGCCUCGGGAUUGGCGCGUGGGCGCUGGCAACAGCUGCCCAUGUCAUCUUUUGCUGAGAACCUGGUCAAACUUGAUCAUUUAGAGGAAGUAAAAGUCGUAACAAGGUUUCCGUAGGUGAACCUGCGGAAGGAUCAUUC